GCAAGUCGAGGGGUAACAGAAGUAGCUUGCUACUAGAUGACGACCGGCGCACGGGUGAGUAACACGUAUGCAACCUACCUUUUACAGAGGGAUAGCCCAGAGAAAUUUGGAUUAAUACCUCAUAGUAUUUUAAAAUCGCAUGAUUUAAAAAUUAAAACUCCGGUGGUAAGAGAUGGGCGUGCGUUCUAUUAGUUAGUUGGUGAGGUAACGGCUCACCAAGGCGACGAUAGAUAGGGGUUCUGAGAGGAUAGUC
rnacentral:rRNA from 1 species